CGCUCUGGUGGCUUAGUGGUUAGAGCUUCCACCUUAGAUGCGGGAGAUCAUGGGUUUGAUCCCCAGUUGAGUCA